UACGUAGGGUGCGAGCGUUGUCCGGAAUUACUGGGCGUAAAGAGCUCGUAGGUGGUUUGUCGCGUUGUCCGUGAAAACUCACAACUCAAUUGUGGGCGAGCGGGCGAUACGGGCAGACUGGAGUACUGCAGGGGAGACUGGAAUUCCUGGUGUAGCGGUGGAAUGCGCAGAUAUCAGGAGGAACACCGGUGGCGAAGGCGGGUCUCUGGGCAGUAACUGACGCUGAGGAGCGAAAGCGUGGGGAGCGAACAGG
rnacentral:rRNA from 1 species